UCAAAUUCAGCCUGAUUUCCAUUGAAGGCCAUGUUGUUGUGGCUUCAAGACAAGGCUUGAAAGCUCUCCUGAACUUCGGGACACAGGUGCCAGGCUCCCAAACAACUGAGUCCACCUUCGAGGAUCAGAAGGGAAAGCAAGAGCAGAAGCACUUGGUCCGUUGCAAAGCCUCAGGAUUGUGUAUGCACGUGGAGCACUGGUGUGUGAAGUACCCAAACAAGAGGUGAAGGGAUUGCUGUGGACCAAGCGCCCAGGGAAAACAAAGAUUUUAGAUUCGACGUAGCUCAGCUCAAGGAGCCCAGUUCCUGGUGAGAGGAUCUCAGUCCACAUACAGUUCACAAGAGGCACAUCUGCCUGGCGACUUUUGCAAACGAACAACUACGUGAAGUGGACAGAGAAGAGGGGUCUGGGGUUGCAUAGGAACACAGCACACUCUCAUUCGACUGCCUCCUGAGGUGGGGUGGGGGAGACACUCCAUCUACUGGUGCUCUGCUCAACAGCAGAACUGGCAAGCCACCCCCAGGGCUGCCAAAACUGGAAGAAAGAUCGUGGGAAGAUGACGCUGCAGCCUCAUGAGACGGGAGAAGCCACAGAAGCAAACCCACCCACCACCACUCCCCCAAGCUGAGUGGGAGGGCAUCGUGGGGAGGGCUGCUCUGACCAUGAACCCAGAGAAGUCUGUCUGUGGUACCCAAGGACAUGCCAUCUCUUUCCUCCCCCAUCUCUCCAUCAAGGGGAGGCUGCUGGCCUGGGGACAGAGAGGAGACACGACAAGUGCCGAGAACCAGAAUCAGAAAAUCAGCCAAAGACAGAACCAAAAGGCAAACGAGAACUUUUGCUUUCAGGAAAAAGAGGAGGAAGGUGCCAUCUCUCUGAUUUUCCAUUUCUUGUGGGAGCUGCUUUUAAAGAUUUGCAAAUUCUCUACAUCUGUGACCCUCAGACCUGUAGCUACCAAAGGAGGGGGAACAAAUUAGGAGAUCGGGAUUAACAUACAUAUAUACACUACUAUGUAUAAAAUUGAUAAUUAGUGAGAGCCAGCUGUACAGCACAGGGAACUCUACUCAAUGCUCUGUGGUGACCUAAAUGGGAAGGAAAUUUAAAAAAAAGAAUGAUAUGUGUAUACACAUAACUGAUUCACUUUGCUCUACAGCAAAAACACAGCAUUGUAAAGCAACUAUAUCCAAGAAUUUUUUUUAAAGAAAAUAUUAGCAAAUUAUCUACACUUAAUUAAAUGAAUGAUCUGAAAAACAAUAUACCACCUGACCUGAUACUGAUAAAGUUGCACAUUAGAGGGGAAGGAGAAGGAUGUAUAGGAUGGAUGUACAUGAAGGGCCUUAAAAGCUCUGCUUGAAGGACAAAAAUGUCCACAGAAUUCAGUUAUGGUAAAACUCAAAAAGAGUCAUGAAA
rnacentral:lncRNA from 1 species